CGACAGAGCGAGACUCCGUCUCAAAAUAAAAAUAAAAAAAAAAUAAAGGCGGGGUGGUGGUGGUGACAAGCCCCUAUUACGGCCUUAGUGCGGGAUUCCCCUUGGGGCGGGAGACGUCGUCCUUCCGGGUGCGGGUGCGGACUGCAAGUCCUAUCGGGGACCGCGACACCGGACUGCAUCCGCCAGCGUCCAGGGCGUAGCGCCCCCCAGGCGCUGCCUUCGUCCAUCUCUACGGGGAGUGGCGGCCAGAAGACUGGGUUUUCCCCGUGCAGCUGUGCCCCACGUUGGGGAAACUGACUUUUCAGAGUAAAAGCCAAGACCUUAAAAUGGUUCCAAAGUCCCAACAUAAUCUGGCCCCGUUACUCCAGGAACACUGGCCUUUUUGCUGUUUUCCAAACCUGCCAGACAAACAGAGGCCAAAAGGAGAAAUGACUCAGGUCAAGACUGCAGAGCCAGCUGGGCUAUCCUUAACUCCUGCUGCCUUGCCUGGCUGUCAGAGUGCUUGGGGAGGAUGGUGGGAAGGAAUGAAGAGGACAAGGACAGACUCGUCUGCCUCAAUACAUCCAC
rnacentral:lncRNA from 1 species